GGUUGUGGCUCAGUGGUAAAGCACUCACCUCACACGUGAGAGACCCUGGGUUUGGAUCCUCAGCACCA
rnacentral:tRNA from 1 species